AACGCAACUUGCGCUUGCUUCUGGCAAGCAUGCCUGUUUGAGAAUCUAUAGCACACUUUAGCCGCUAGGCUGAGAGUUGGGCGCUGUUGGGAAACACGCCUGAAAGGAAUGGCUUGGAGGCAGCUGGGAUAGCGGCUGUCUGACCAGAGAGAUGAAGGGCUUGCCCACUUCCUCUGGGGCAGACAGUUGUUCGGCUGUUUGCAACGGACAUUUUUUGAACUUGGUCUCAAAUCAGGCAGGAGGACCCGCUGAACUUAA
rnacentral:misc_RNA from 1 species